UAAGCAUAUCAAUAAGCGGAGGAAAAGAAACCAACAGGGAUUGCCCUAGUAACGGCGAGUGAAGCGGCAACAGCUCAAAUUUGAAAUCUGGCGCAAGCCCGAGUUGUAAUUUGUAGAGGAUGCUUCAGGGCAGCGGCCGGUCUAAGUUCCUUGGAACAGGACGUCAUAGAGGGUGAGAAUCCCGUAUGCGACCGGUUGGCACCCGUCACGUAGCUUCUUCGACGAGUCGAGUUGUUUGGGAAUGCAGCUCUAAAUGGGAGGUAAAUUUCUUCUAAAGCUAAAUACCGGCCAGAGACCGAUAGCGCACAAGUAGAGUGAUCGAAAGAUGAAAAGCACUUUGGAAAGAGAGUUAAAAAGCACGUGAAAUUGUUGAAAGGGAAGCGCAUGCAACCAGACUUGUCGGCGGUGUUCCGCCGGUCUUUUGACCGGUCCAUUCGCCGCCGGCAGGCCAGCAUCAUCUGGGUGCGCCGGAUAAAGGCGUGGGGAAUGUAGCUCCUCGGAGUGUUAUAGUCCCGCGCACAAUACGGUGCCGCCCAGGUGAGGUCCGCGCUUCGGCUAGGAUGCUGGCCUAAUGGUUGUCUGCGGCCCGUCUUGAAACACGGACCAAGGAGUCUAACAUCUAUGCGAGUGUUCGGGUGUCAAACCCCUACGCGGAAUGAAAGUGAACGGAGGUGGGAAGCGCAAGCUGCACCAUCGACCGAUCCUGAUGUCUUCGGAUGGAUUUGAGUAAGAGCAUAGCUGUUGGGACCCGAAAGAUGGUGAACUAUGCCUGAAUAGGGUGAAGCCAGAGGAAACUCUGGUGGAGGCUCGCAGCGGUUCUGACGUGCAAAUCGAUCGUCAAAUUUGGGUAUAGGGGCGAAAGACUAAUCGAACCAUCUAGUAGCUGGUUCCUGCG
rnacentral:rRNA from 1 species